AGUGACUUUAGCUAUGACCAUAUUUUCUGCCACCUUAAAUUAAAGCUCCAUCAUUUUAGACCUCUUUUCAUUUAUUGAGUGCUUGAGAUCAUCAAUUAUUCCCUGAGCUGUACGAAGCUCGCCCCAAAGUCGAUUUAUCUUGAUGGCUGAACCCCACCUAGUCUUUUCGAUAGCCUUAGAUGAUACUAUCAUAUAUUCCAACUUAGAGAUCUUUUCUUGAGCUGCACAUAGUUUGUCACGAUAAUGAGUCACUUUCAUAGCUACCCCCCAAGUUGCUUCUCCCAUCACCUUCGUAAACUUGUUAUGCUCUUCAGUCAACUUAGACCUUUUCGUGGCGUGUGCUUUAUCAGUCUACCUAAGACAGGCCCUUAAACGCUUCAUUUCUACUGAAGCUUUGUCAUGGCCUUUUUUUAUUUUCAAGAAUUUUUGUUUUACUUCGAUAGCUUC
rnacentral:lncRNA from 1 species